GCACCUGUUCCAGUCACCAUAUAUACCCAACGUUUUACGCGUGUAACGCGGUAUCCACCUCCUCCUUCAACCUCACCUCUCACCUCUCACCUCUCACCCUCUUCCACCCUCUCUCAUCCUUUCCCUUCUGCCUAAAAAAAAAAGAGGUGGAAAAGCUUCUGCUACGUCUCGACGGAAGAUUCGAAAACGGAAAGAUCUCGGAGCUGUCCUCGUUCGAAUCUUUUCGGGGAAUAACUUUGCAUAUUUCAAAAUGGCGGCAUCUUAGAUAAGAAAGUAUGUAAAUGACAGCUGGCAUCCAUCUUUCGGAGACAAACCGAAUGCGACACCGUAAAUAUAGACAUAAAAAUUCGACCUUCUCCGUUUCACCGGUUUGGUGGUAUUACAACCUUUGAUAUUAAAAUUUAACCUUGUGAGAGAAAAAGAAAUAUUAACGCGAGCGAUUCAAAAAAAAAAAAAAGGAAAAUAAAAGAGAAAAGAAAAAAAAAUCCGAUUCGAUUCAGUCGAAAAACAAUAUAAUCGAAUUAGGUGAAUCAUUCUGACGAUAACGAACGAGAUAACGGAUUAAAAAAAAGAAGAAGAAAAAAUAAAAUAAAUUUUCUUCGUAUGUAAAACGAA